CCAACUUUUUACCAGCUGUGGUUUGCCAUGUGCCUGUCGUUUGGAAAAGUUGGAAAAUAAAGGUCAGCAAAUCCGGAUCACACACAUAGACGUGUUUUGGAAGAAGCUUGACUUCAAGCCUGCAAGGAAUAAAAUAGAGGAUAUUGAUGUAGACGCGGAAUUUGAAAAAUUGAAAAAACAGAUCGAUCCAACACCCCCUCAAGUGAAAAGGAGCUUCUUUGAAAAGUUUCAGCAAAUCCUCAAUCCAGGG